UUCACAUGAUUUAUAAAGAGAGGUGUUAUCACCAUAUAUGGUUUAUUGGAGGCGUUUCUGAAUGCAAAUGACCAUGAACCUCGUUUUUUAAGUCUAGAUCUAGGCACGAUGAGUAGACAGAGAUCACUGGAUCUCAAUGUUCUACACGAGUGAAUCAGAUCACUGCUCUACUGCAGGAUAAACACUGUACACUCAACACACUGAUGUUAAGCUGCUGUGGUUUGACAGAAGAAGGUUGUUCUGCUGUGACUUCAGCUCUGAAAUCAAACCCAUCACACCUGAGAGAACUGAACCUGAGUGAGAAUAAACUACUAGGAGACUCUGGAG